CUUUUCUGAGCCUGUCAAGUCCUUCUUUUGACCCAUUUUGCCAAAGGAAAGGAAGUUGCCUAAUAAUUAUGCACACCUGAUAUAGGGUGUUGAUGUCAUUAGACCACACCCCUUCUCAUUACAGAGAUGCACAUCACCUAAUAUGCUUAAUUGGUAGUAGGCUUUCGAGCCUAUACAGCUUGGAGUAAGACAACAUGCAUAAAGAGGAUGAUGUGGUCAAAAUACUCAUUUGCCUAAUAAUUCUGCACUCCCUGUAUGUGUGAUCUCAGUAGACCUGAUUCGACCAGACUAAUGAAUGAAAUCUGAAAGGUUUUCCCAUUCAACAAUAUAAAUUGAUCUCUAUACAAACCUCUGCCAUAUUAAUUUAUAGAUUCUUGUAUUCCAUUGGGAUGAAAUUAUUCUUUUGUAGCCUUUUUAGUAUAUUGGCCAUCAUUUUUGCUUUUAGGUUCCUGACUGGACUAUUAAACAAUAUGAUGGAUCUGGAUUUCUAAUUAACUCUUAAAGCCGAUUUAAUCCAGUAGUUGCAGGGCUUUAAAUGCAUCUAUCUCCAAGAUUUAAAUUUCCACAACGUGUCAGAACAGUAGACACAUUGGAAUAAUUAUUUUAAUUUAUUUUUAAAUGCUUGCAUUUCAUUAACGUUUUAAAGCGGAAGAAAUAAUGACAGAUUAACGUAAUGAAACGAUAGUUUGAAGGCAGACGGGAAAUAAUAAUGCUUGUAUUGGCUAUGAUCCUUGUCGUAUUUUGGGAAACUAUCCUAAACAAACUUCCCAAUAUUAUUAAAGUCCAUGUCCUCUCAUAGGUGAAUGAACUGCAAACCCCUAAUUUGAAAUAAAUGUGGCCUCAUUUCUGCAACUUAAGAAAUAAUCUAAUUUUCAUGGAAAAGUUGCAACAUUGGAACAUUAACUUAUGGCACCAUGCAUUACCCAUGUCGACAGCAGACAUACAUUUCUUUUAUACAUACACUUUGCCUUCAGUUUAACUAAACUGUAUGCAUCAGUGGUGUUUUACGUCGUCCAUCGUUGUGGCUUCCUUUAAAUCUUACUCCUUAAAAUUUGGAGAGGGUUAUUAGGUUUUUACUCCACGCAUUUGUUUAGCUUGAAGUUUUAUUUUCAAUGCUAACCCAGUUUACAAUGCAUCUGUCUGUAAACGUACAUGGUUUAUUUUUUAAUCUCUAUCAAAGGUGCUAACAGAGCCCAAUCGCCUUUACUCGUUAAAUGGAAGAGUCUUCAGAAAGUCAAAGUAUUUGUAAACCUCAUAUUGGGAGAAUCUCAAAGUCUUCAGUCUGUCUUUUGUCCCAGUCACUAACAAAGAAUGUAUUUGGGAUUGUAGGUUUGAAGAGGAUGAUUACUUUAUAGCUUCAGGCCAUAGCAGAGACUCCAUGACUAUGAUUACUGCUGAUUAGGGCUGUUGUAGAUAAGUUUGGUGUCUGUUUUAAUGUGAUAUAACAUUGAUUCCCCACCCUUUCCCUUUGACUUGAAAUAUAUGUGGAAGGUUCUAAGUUACGUUUUAUAUCUGCCUGUAUAAGUAAGUGUAUAUUAGCAGUGGUGUGGUAAAGUUUUUGAAAGUUAGUUUGCUUUGAUGUUUUGUGCAGAUCCCCUUAGUACAAACAAAAACAAGAAUUGUUUUUAUUUAAAAAAAAAAAAAAUUCAAUACCCCUUAAAUUAAAAAGAUGUUGCCAGAGCAAACAAAAAUCCAUCAUGACAAUCAGGUCAUUUGACAAUCUUGUGCUGUGGAAAGUGUAUUGUAUUUAGAUGUGUUUUGAUAAUGUGUGUCAGACGUGAUGUGUUUACAAAAUGUCUCCCUGCUUGUUCAUGAAAAUGGACAGCAGUACCUAUCUGAAGUGAUACAAAACAGUCCAUCUAAAGCACUGCUUUGUUUUAAUCUAAUUCUUCACCAAAAGGCUGGUUGUAAAUGGAAAGUGAUGACUUAAACUUUUUAGGGACCAAUGACAUGCCAGGCAUGUUGUGAUAUAAAAGGAUCUGCCUAAUCCCCUGAUUCUUUUAUGGGGUUAAUAAGUAGUUCUAUAUUAUCCUGCUUUCCACAAAGUAGAAAUGUAAAAAUUGAAAUUGUUUUGUUGGCAGAAGUUUUGCAAAUAGCAAUUGCUAAUUUAUUAAAAAUUGCAUACAAUUUAACAAUUUCCCUUGGGGUUUAUACACUAGACCAGGGGUAGGCAACCUACGGCACUAGUGCCAUGCACGGCACUCAAGGCAUGCCACAGCCAAACAGGCUCUGUCCAUCAGGAGUCCCAGUGAAACUUCACCUUUUCAUAUUAGCAGAUAUCUGGUGAAGGAUAAUCCUCAAUUUAUGCAUUGCAGAUCACUUCCUCCCAGCACCUGUGAAUGGGAAUUCACACUGUAGUAGCACAGCCUGCAGCUGCUGUUGCUGCUCCAGUCCUUGACCUGUACAUGGCCAGCUUGGUCCCCACUGGAACCCAGGGAAGCCACACUGCUAAAUUUACAUAGAACUGCACAAUAACCCUCCCCUCAUACAAAUAAUACUAACAGCCCACAAACAUACAUACAAUCCGCACAAACGUAACCCGCUAACAACCCACAUACAUGCACACAACCCCAUAUGCAGCCUCUCACAUGCAAUACCCCAAACAGCCCCCACACAUACACACACUACCAAACACACAAUGUGACAUAUCCAUCUACACACACAAUUCCACAAGCAGCCCCAUACGCAGCGCACAUUCAUAUGUAUCAUACAUGAUACCACAAACUACUCCUGAACAUCUACAAUAUAAUAGCUUAUAUACGCACAAAUACAAUGAUACAAAGCAAUUACAGUAUAAAUAACACAAGCAGAAUAUGGCAUACACACCAAUUUAAAAAAAAAAAAAAAAGGACCGGCACGCUAUGGGACAUCACAAUCCUAUAUCGGCACAUUGCUGCUAAAAGGUUGCCUACUCCUCCACUAGACAGUGAAUACAUUUUGUAUUUACGAGAAUAGAAAUAAAUUUGGUUGCAGCAUAAUGUUUGCAUGAUUAUUGUUAGCUGUUACCUAUCUUUUGCAUCUAUAAUGUGCACGCCCAGGGUUAUUGCAGUAAAGAUUAUAUUAAUAUAUUUACUUUGGUCAGUCACAUUCAGAGAUGUAAAUUGAUGGAAAUGUUAUAUUUAAGAAAUAAUGUUAGAAUAACUUAAACAGUCCAUGAUUAUUUUGUUGCAUUUUUACACUGUAUCUAACACAGUGCUAAAGUCUCUACCAAGAUUUAAUAUUGUUAAUGGUCUGCUCUUAUGUCAAUAGUUGGAAAAUAUAGCAGAUAAGUAAAAUAAAUAAUUCUGCUUUUUUCCUUGUACUGUAUAUAAUUUUUAAACCUAUGUGUUUCCUCCAGAAUUUGCUGGCCAUGCAAUUCUUUAUUUAAUAUAAAGCCUGGCUGUAAUCAUUAAGUUCAUCAAACUGUUUUGGUACAUGUAUUAACAUUUUGUGUAAUGCAACAAAUUUCCGUACAUUUCAAAAGUAGAUCUUGGGCAAUGUCUGUUUAUAGCACUAGGAAUGAUGACAGAAUAGUUUAAAACUGAAACAUCUUACUAUUUAGGCAACAGACUAUUCGUUCAGUGACUUGGCGUGACAUAAAAAGAAUAAAAUUUGUUAAUGUAGGGGUAGAGUUGCGCCUCAAGUUACUCAAGUAGGCUUUGAGCAAGCAUAAGCAACCUUCAGAAUGACACACUGACAUGGCUAAAAAAAAGUUACAUAAGCAGAACUAGAGUAACUGUAUCCAAAUACUGGUUCAAUUCCAGAAGUACCAGAAAAGCAGAUUUCUCAUUUGGAGAUGAGCACUUUGUCAACAGUUUUUUUUUUGUUUUUUUUUUUUUUUUAUAAUUACGGGAAAUGUCCAGAAAUAUCCCAAGACACAAUAAUUUUAUAGAUGUGUAGUGAUAAAUCUUAAGCAGCCUUUGAAGGGAAAACUGUUAAAUGUUUAAUACAUUUGAUUCCUUUAAAAAGUGUAGAACACACAGGAGUCGGACCCAAAUUUUCCUCACCUUACUUGCGUUUUUAAUAGUUGCUGCGAUUUUAUGGUUCAGUCCAAUCAGAGAAAAAUCCACUCUGUAUACAAUAAAUGUAGUUUACAAUUAGUGGUUCGGUUUCUUCAUAUGACAAAGAAAACAAAUUAUUGUUCCAAAUAUUCACCUCUCUCGCAUGUGACUGACAUUUUCUAACCCAUCUAGUCCAGACAUAUUUAUGGUGUACUUUUCUUUUUUUUUGGGGGGGGGGGAGAGGGGGAAGAUUCCCUGCCCUGCCUUAAAGAAGCCACGUAAGAAGUUACCUAAUCAGAUGAGGUACAAAGUUUAGUUUGUGAUCCAGAUUUUGUAGUUCUCUGCAACUAAUGGUACGUUAUCUGCAGUACGUAUCCUUUUGUCACUUGAUGCAAUUCCAAUCAAAACUCUUCUGUUGGACAUAUAAGGAUUAGUGGUUUCUACUUAUUGCCUAGUACACAGUUCACUGUAUCAAUAUAAUAUAUAGCAUCUGAGAUUUUAAAUGGUACACCUUGCUAUUGAAAUGAAUCCUUCCUUGAUUACUUUUUGCAUGUACGUGGAGUAUGCAUGAUUCGUGUUUGCCUUCAUAUGUGUGCCUGUUUGUGUUAGUAAAAUGACCUUGCCUAGCACACACUUCCACACAGUUGGUAUAAAGUUAAUUUCUUUCCUAGUCUCUCCCAUGUUUGUUAAAUUGCUGUAUGUUUUUUGCCUUGCUUUGUCUAGAAAACUUGAAUUUCCCGGUCACUUUUCUAUUUUCUGAUUUCCUUCAGGUUACACAAUGAUACUAAAUGUGUUUUUUUUUAUUUUAUUUCUAGCAAUGAUCAUUUUUUAAUGAAAUAACUUUUUAGCUUUGCUAUCAUCCUUUUGUUUUUUUCUGGUUACUGAUGUUCUUGCCUAUACAGCAUGGUGCAAAAAUUCAUGUGCUUUGAGGCACUGUGCAGUGUUUACUGCAUUGUUAUGCAAAUAACCACGCAACACCUCAGCCAGUUCUACUUCAGCUUAGGUCCUAUAUGGAUGCAUUAUGCAUGUUUCUGUAAAAAUAUGGAUUUCAUGCUUUAUUUUUUCUUAUCCGCUUCCCAUACAUCCAAAUCGGCUUGAUUCAGGAUACCUAGAGUCCGCUUAAGAAGAAAACUAGCUCGUGAUGGAAGCAGUUGUGGAUGCAGUACGUCAAUUAAGCAAACUUAAUGCUUGUGGUUGACCUACCAGCUUUUUGUGGAUGCAGUGCUUGCAUGUGUAAUCCUUUUGUUAUUCCUUUCAGUGUAUUUAAUCUACUAAACCUGUUGCUGUCAGCAUAUCCUAGUAGUACAGAACCUAAUCUAAAAUGGGGUUUGUUCCAGCGGGUGUAUGGGGAACUUUGUUGCUAUGUGGCUGCAAGAUGUAAGUAAGAGGCUAGUGGCUAAGGUAUUUGAGACUGCUAAUCAUUCCACUAGGGUUUCAAAGCAUAUAUAUUGGUUCUAUUGAUCUGUCUCUCUCUGUCUCCAGUCUCCAACCUUUAUCCAACUCCUAUCCUCAGAACAUUACCAAGCUUGGAAUUUACUAUAACAAUUGUGGAAAGGAGUUGUGAAGAAUUGCACUUUUUUUUUUUUUUGGGUGAAUAAAAAUAACAUUUUUCUUUUUAACCAGUGUACCUAAAUUUGCAGUUAUGUUGGCAAUUCUCCACAAUUCCCAAUUUUGUGAAUACAACUGUAAAACACGUGUAUGUGUCUGAGAAGCAGUAAUAAUCUAUUGUGUUAUAUACUCCUAGCACUGGAACAGAUCCUUGAACAGUGACUUUAUAAAAUAAAUUUUACAGCAGUGAGUGUUAUCCUGACAUUUGCUAUAGAAAGUACCAGCUAUGCAUUAUAUAGUAGAUUUUGAACCGACCCUAGUUUUAGUAGAACAAUAUUCCCAAAUUUUUAAUAAACACUUCUGUGUGAAACAACUAAUGCCGUAAUAAAGGCCAAACAAAGUAUAAGCUGUGACAAGUCAGUACAAGCAGAUUUAUUAAAAACAAGCAAAACAUGCUCUCUAAAUUAAUCCCAAGCAUUGACUAGAAAGAGGGAUUUUAACAAAAAGGACACAUUUAGCGGUCUCUAGGUUUCAUGCGUGUCCUAUGGAAGUAUAAAACACAUGGAUAAACACUACUUUAAAAAAAAAAAUGAAUCUUUUUCGUGGUGUUAAUCUCUGAUAAAGCAGGUCAGCUGUUUGAUAAAAUAUAUAAUUGAAAAGCUUCACUAAAUACAGGGGCAGUAUGAGCAAUGUGGACAUUGGGGGGAAAUUGUAAAAAGAAUCUUCCAAAAGAUCUCCGUAUAACAAUGUAAAAAAAUAAAUGCUAGCUGAGAAAACUGCUCCAUGGCUCUUUAAGUUGUUCAUCAUAGACUAUAAAAAUUGGUGCAUUAACUGCACUUUUGCCAGAUCUUACAUAUAACUAGGCAUAGUUCUAAUAAUGUAGACUAUAAAGCUGCUGUGAAAUCUCUAAGUUCUUCGAUCUGUAACAUUCCUAAGUGUCUAUGUAGAUGAAUGAGAUGAGCAAGCUGAGGAGGACUUCCUGUACAAAUGGUUUUCCGAGACUGGCUCAUUCAAGUCGAUUGUGGGUGCUACGUUUUUUUUCAAGCCUUGCAUCAUUAUCACUUUCUCUUAAUUUGCUGUUUGGCUAAACCAUGUAACCUUUUUAGCUAAGGAUUCAUUCAUGUUAUAUAGAAAUAAAUCCGCAUUCUGUGUCUCUUCCAUAAAGAAAGAAAGAAAAAAACAAAAACAGAAUUUAUCUAUAUAACUGCAUCCAUUGCCUAUACUGAAUUUGUGUGCAACAUGUUAAGUAACAUGAUUGAAGAAGCGGAUAAUCCUUUUCUCUUUAACUUCCAGGGGAAUUGCAAGAUGCCCCCACUCCACAGCAGUUGAAGUGUUCUAAACGUGUAAACUAAUACUAAUAUUGGGGGCAAGACCAUAAAUCCUGUGAACUGUACUGAAAGCUGAAUAACGCUCUACUUACCUGUUGGGUGGGUUUGUUUGAUGAACGUCUCUAGGUAGUCUGUUUUAAAUUUCCUGGUAUAAGCCAAGUGCCUUCUAUGCUUAAGGCUCAGAAAAAAAACACUUUAAGAACUGAUUUCAUGUCCUAUGCAAGUGUUUUCUACAACCUGCAUAAACCAGAACUUUGUAAGAUUUGUUUAUGAUUCAAUUGUACAUAGUGUUUUUAAAGAAUAGUAUUUUUAUUUAGGUACUUGCAAACUUGAAUUUGUGUCUUGUGUGAUACAUUGUAUAACCCCUUUCUCUUUUGAGUACCAUUGCAGUUGUACAAAAGUUUUAACUGGUUCUAUUUUUCUACUGUUACUGACAAGCAUGUAACAUUGACUUUAUCCUGCAUAUAUAGUUGGCAUUUCAAAAUAAAUGGCUUGUAUACAAAGAUAACUGGUUUUAUUGUCUCUUCUUUUAUUAUAGUCUGUAAAAAAUCUUUAAGAAGG
rnacentral:lncRNA from 1 species